rnacentral:piRNA from 1 species
UGAAAACAAACAAAUUCUCUGGUUUUGUUU